CCCUUAGAUGUCCUGGGCCGCACGCGCGCUACACUGACAUGUUCAACAAGUUUCUCCUAGUUCGACAGGACUGGGAAAUCUUUGAACGCAUGUCGUGAUAGGGAUAGAUCAUUGCAAUUAUUGAUCUUGAACGAGGAAUUCCUAGUAAACGCGAGUCAUCAGCUCGCAUUGAUUACGUCCCUGCCCUUUGUACACACCGCCCGUCGCGCCUACCGAUUGAAUGUUUCGGUGAAGAUUCCGGAUAGGACUGAUUUGAUUUAUUUCAUUUCUGACCUAAAAGCUAUCUAAACCUCAACAUUUAGAGGAAGGUGAAGUCGUAACA
rnacentral:rRNA from 1 species